AAAUUGAAGAGUUUGAUCAUGGCUCAGAUUGAAUGCUGGCGGCAGGCCUAACACAUGCAAGUCGAACGGUAACAGGAAACAGCUUGCUGUUUCGCUGACGAGUGGCGGACGGGUGAGUAAUGUCUGGGAAACUGCCUGAUGGAGGGGGAUAACUACUGGAAACGGUAGCUAAUACCGCAUAACGUCGCAAGACCAAAGAGGGGGACCUUCGGGCCUCUUGCCAUCGGAUGUGCCCAGAUGGGAUUAGCUUGUUGGUGGGGUAACGGCUCACCAAGGCGACGAUC
rnacentral:rRNA from 1 species